GAGUGGGAGCAGCAAUGGUCUUUGAUGCACAGGCCACACCCAGAAAAAGCAGCCCUGAUGGUAACCAGAUCUUCCCCUCUGGCAACACAGCGAUACGGGAGGAUGGUUUUCAGUGCCUGUAUAGAUGGGAGCCCUGGCUAAUGCCCAGUUGGCCUACUUCUUCCCCCCGGUCUGGCUCUGACAGCAGCACUGGCUCCUCACACUUCCAGCCCAAGGAAAAUUCUCUGCACAGGCAGAUGUGCCUUGGGAGCUGAAAGGAGGAGAAGAGCUCCAGGGAUUCUCCAGGCCUGCGUUCUCCGAAGAGAGGACAGUGUUGAUGAGAGAAUCCAUCAGAAAACUGGGUUUCCUUGGAGGAAUGGAGUGGCCCGUGAUGAGAAGGGGCGUGGGGACAGAGGAGAUAAGAAUUCACAGUGCUUUCAUAGUCCGAGGCCAGAACACCCAGCACCCCUGAGAGCUAGUCCUGCCCUGGAUCGGGUCCCAUCUCAUGGUGGCAAAGGCCACCAGCUACCCUUGGAGGAAAGUACCUGUGUGGCCGGGAGGGCGGUGUUUGGAUAAGUCUAUAUUUGUAAGAGGACUCUAAGUUGGGCGGGUGGUUCCCUGGCCUUAUCAGGGCCCUGCAGUCCAGCAUGGCCCCAGGGCAGAUGGGCUGCCCAGUCUCCACCCUAUUGGACUUGGCUCAGUCCCCAUAAGAGGGAGGGCCUUGUCCUCACACACCCCUGUGCUCAGUGUCACCCUACUCCAUUGGCUGCACUGACCUCUGUGUCACAGCCAGCAGCAAUAGGGAAAGAAGUUGGCUGGCUUUCCAAGUUGGGGAUGUGUCCAGGCAGCAAGUAAUGGAGAAUGCGUUCCAUUUCCCACCGAGGGAGAGAGAGGGCACAGCCAUGACACAGGCUGACACAUGCUCGACGUGCUCUUCUGAACUGUGUGACCUCGGAUGUGCUGUGGAAACUAACAUCCCUCCCCUCAAAGACUGGCUGGACCUCGUGACUUGUGUUUUGCACGAAGGGGAUACAGCAGAAGGGAAGGUGGAUGAGGGGAAGGUGUGCGACGUCUGAAGCCAGGUCAUAAAAGGCACUGUGGUUUCCACCUCAUUCUCUCCUGGACUGUCUGCUACUGGGGCCACCCUGUCAUGAGGACACUUAAGCAGCCCAUGUAGGGAAGGUCCAAGUGGGGAAGAGGGAAGGCAUCCCACCAACAGUAAAGCACCAACUUGCCAACCAUCCUCCUCCAGCCCCAAUCAAGCCUUCAGAUGACUGUAGCUCUGCCUGACACCGCAACCUCUUGAAAGACCCCAAGCCAGAAUGUUCUGGAAUUUCUGACCCAAAGGAACUAUGAGAUAUAAUAAAUGCAUAUUAUUUAAAACUCCA